rnacentral:rRNA from 1 species
AGGGUUUGAUUAUGGCUCAGGACGAACGCUGGCGGCGCGCCUAGCACAUGCAAGUCGAACGGAGCUUAGAGAGCUUGCUUUUUAAGCUUAGUGGCGAACGGGUGAGUAACGCGUAUCCAACCUGCCUUACACUCUUGGACAGCCUUCUGAAAGGGAGAUUAAUACAAGAUGUUAUCAUGAGUAAGCAUUUUCGCAUGAUUAAAGGUUUACCGGUGUAAGAUGGGGAUGCGUUCCAUUAGAUAGUAGGCGGGGUAACGGCCCACCUAGUCUUCGAUGGAUAGGGGUUCUGAGAGGAAGGUCCCCCACAUUGGAACUGAGACACGGUCCAA